CAGAAGUAUGUGCAUAGCAUAAUCCACUAUAGUUAUCAUUGAGCAUUCAGAAAAAGCCUCAAGAAUAUCCCAGAGCACUGCUAAGGUUAAUUGACUGCUUGAAGGCGUCAGUACACACUCCAGAAAAUAAUAAUUUUUGGACUGAAAUUGACAGUUCUGCAUUCACUGUCUGUGACUCUCAGAUAAGCACUGUCCUGUCUUGAAGCUGAAUUUGUCCUGUCUUGAAGCCGAAUUAUCUGAGGUAGCUGAAUGAUGCAGAACUGGUGAAGGUGGGUGUUUACAGCAGGUCUCUCUGGGACUAACCCAUUGCUUAAGACACCUUAAAGCAAGGUACUAGGGGAGGGUCUGUACUAUGCCAAGCUGCAAUAACCGGUAUUUUUGGCAGCAGGCAGAUUCCAUACCUUUCCUGUCACUGUAGACAGACAGAGCAGUCACAGGUAGUCAUGGUUAUAUCAAAAUACUAAAUAUCCAAAGAUGUUAUAUUCAGGUAGGGCUCAGAGAUGUAGUUGACAAAAAAAUAAAUAAAUGAACAUCCAGAAUAUUAUUGUGCUGUAAAUCAACUGCCAUCACUGUGCAGAGCCAGCUGAGUUCUGAUGCAUGAUGCAUCGGUAUGUUCUGUACCACGCGUGCUGCUGUGUUGGACACCUAGGGGCACAUCUGUGGUAGUAAUUUGUUACCUGAGUCUCGUAACAGGAGGAUGAGGUUAAGCUUAAGUAUAAGGGGAAGACAUGAAGGAAUCAGAAGAUACCAGCCUGAAUCUUUCAAGCUGGUAGUUACUGAGAUGGUUUGCAGCCUCAAGUGUUGCCUGAAGUCUCUGCUCUGAAAGUCGUUGCUGUUGUGAUUACUGUUCUAUAUGAACAGCUGGAUACAUAUCUGAACAGUAUGUUCAGCUGAGGCUCUCACCGAAAAGCCAGCACUGGCAAGGCUCACCAGCUCCAGCAAUGACGUACUCUCCAGCAGGCUGGCAGAUGUGUGCGUAUGUGUGUGCGUCUAUCUCUGUAUAAAUAACAGCCGUGUAGGUGAGGCUGUCUGUCUGAACACCUAAGAAUGUCUUUUGGCUGCAGGGUUUUCCUUGUUCCCAGUUCUUCAAAUGACCACAUUAAUCCUGUUCACAGCAAUCUCAGUACAAACUGUUUUCUGGGAGAGGAGAGUUAUUGGUUUUAGGACAAAUGCAUAUCAUUGAAGCAGGUGAGUACAUGUAGUGCAUUUCUUACUGUUGGAUGAUCAUUCUGUAUACUCCAUAUGCUUCAGCACUGUCUGUACAAACAGUAAAUCAAGUACUGAGAGCCUUCAGAGGGAUCUGUACCUUCUGAAGAGCUCUGGGACUUUUUCCAUCUCCGCAACUUACCCGGUGGUCUCUGCUGCAUCAUCCUCAGAACUGAACCCAGAGACCUUCAGCACCGUGGUGUGGAGUACUUGAGCAGAUACUGAUCAAAUGACCGGUGGUGCUUCCUUCCUGGGAACAGAUGUCUUCUCAAGAAUAUCUCUGUCUGGCAGACUAAUGCCUCAGUGCCUCCUUGCCAGCGAAACAAAACAACCUGUAGUUUAAGAAAACCUGUCAAAAUUACUUAGAUGAAUGGUUCAAGUAAUUAGUUUAAGGAGACUGGAUCAAUAACUGGUUAAAUGAACGGCUUGAUUCAAAAAAAAGCCUCAGGUUUGGCCCCGUCUGAGAAAGUUUUAGCAGUUUGGCUGGGCUUGGUGAUGCUGUUCGUUCACUCUUGUAUGGGGUUGGUUGGUUGUGUUUGUUUGUUUUACCUCUGUUUGUUUUGCAUGGUUUUUCUUGUUCAGUAUAUGAGUAGAAAAACAGCAGCUGCAGAAGAAGAAAUUCUCCUCUUGAGCACGCUGCUUAAGGAUGUGGAUCAAGAGGCCAGCUGACCGUAGGGGAUUUAAGAGAGGGUAUUGAGAUUUUCUGUAGCACCUUGAACUCAACCAAUCCAUCAGUGCUCGGUAACUAUUUGAUCCACACAAAACAGCAAGUUAUAAUGCACAUCAAAGAGCCUGUCUGUACUGCUGCUCACUGCCGUUUCGUCCUUAGCUGUCAGGCCCUGCAGAGUGCUGAAGCAGCUCGCCUAAGGCUACAGAUAUAAUCUGUUACAGGGUUGUAAUUAGGAGCAUUAGCCUGCUGGUCAUUCUUUUGGUCUCUCUUAUCUUGUUUUUUUCCUGACUAAGAGCCCACCUGAGGCACUCUUCAGAAAAUUCAGGUCAAAUUUUUCAACUCCAGGAGUGUUAGUAUAUCUGGUCCCAGAUUCAGCAUUCCAAUCCAUCUCUUCUCAAACUGACACCACGCUAUGGCCAUUCAAGAACUGAGACACAAUAGAGGUUCUGAUAGUCCUUUCAUCUUAGCAAAUAUCCUUCUAAGUUCUUCACUGAAUAUUUUACAUUUCUGUUCAGUAUAUAUUGAAAGCCGUUACAUAGCAAGAUAGGUAACUGCUCCUUUAGGUUAGCGUUCUC
rnacentral:lncRNA from 1 species